GGCAUGGCUCAUGCAAUCACCAGCUAAGAAAGGAACUGAGACUUCUCUUCAUUUGUUGUUUUUUCCUUCCCUACCUUUCCCUAGAAACUAUUAGACUGCCACACUGUCCUGUUGUGUGACACGGGACACUUUAAGUGACAGAGUAGACAAAAGCUGGAACAAAAGAGCCUCUAUUAAGAUUACAUGAAGCAGAUGACAUUUGAAGCCCAAGCCUUUUUAGAAGCUGUGCAAUUCUUCCGACAGGAGAAGGGUCACUAUGGUUCCUGGGAAAUGAUCACUGGGGAUGAAAUCCAGCUCCUUGAGGAGGCCUACACCCUGGUUCAGCAUCAAGUUUCAGAAGGAUUAAGUGCCUUGAAGGAGGAAUGCAGAGCUCUGACAAAGGGCCUGGAAGGAACGAUCCGUUCUGACAUGGAUCAGAUUGUGAACUCAAAGAACUAUUUAAUUGGAAAGAUCAAAGCGAUGGUGGCCCAGCCGGCGGAGAAAAGCUGCUUGGAGAGUGUGCAGCCAUUCCUGGCAUCCAUCCUGGAGGAGCUCAUGGGACCAGUGAGCUCGGGAUUCAGUGAAGUACGUGCACUCUUUGAGAAAGAGGUGAAUGAACUCGGCCAGAACUUCCAGACCACCAAAGACAGUGUCCAGCUAAAGGAGCAUCUAGACCGGCUUAUGAAUCUUCCGCUGCAUUCCGUGAAGAUGGAACCUUGUUAUACUAAAGUCAACCUGCUUCACGAGCGCCUGCAGGAUCUCAAGAGCCGCUUCAGAUUCCCCCACGUUGAUCUGGUGGUUCAGAGGACACAGAACUACAUGCAGGAGCUAAUGGAGAAUGCAGUGUUCACUUUUGAGCAGUUGCUUUCCCCACAUCUCCAAGGAGAGGCCUCCAAAACUGCAGUUGCCAUUGAGAAGGUUAAGCUCCGAGUCUUAAAGCAAUAUGAUUAUGACAGCAGCACCAUCCGAAAGAAGAUAUUUCAAGAGGCACUAGUUCAAAUCACACUUCCCACCGUGCAGAAGGCACUGGCGUCCACAUGCAAACCAGAACUUCAGAAAUAUGAGCAGUUCAUCUUUGCAGAUCAUACCAAUAUGAUUCACGUUGAAAAUGUCUAUGAGGAGAUUUUACAUCAGAUCCUGCUUGAUGAAACUCUGAAAGUGAUAAAAGAAGCUGCUAUCUUGAAGAAACACAACUUAUUUGAAGAUAACAUGGCCUUGCCCAGUGAAAGUGUGUCCAGCUUAACAGAUCUAAAGCCCCUCACAGGGUCAAACCAGGCCAGCCCUGCCAGGAGAGCUUCUGCCAUUCUGCCAGGAGUUCCGGGUAGUGAGACCCUCAGUAACGAAGUAUUCCAGGAGUCAGAGGAAGAGAAGCAGCCUGAGGUCCCUAGCUCGUUGGCCAAAGGAGAAAGCCUUUCUCUCCCUGGGCCAAGCCCACCCCGAGAUGGGACUGAGCAGGUGAUUAUUUCAAGAGUGGAUGACCCCGUGGUGAAUCCUGUGGCAGCAGAGGACACAGCAGGACUCCCGGGCACAUGCUCAUCAGAGCUGGAGUUUGGAGGGACCCUUGAGGAUGAAGAACCUGCCCAGGAAGAGCCAGAACCCAUCACUGCCUCAAGUUCUUUGAAGGAGCUCAGAAAGUUGCUGACAGCGUCCAUGGAAGUACCAGUGGACUCUGCUCCAGUGAUGGAAGAAGAUACGAAUGGGGAGAGCCACAUUCCCCAAGAAAAUGAAGAAGAAGAGGAAAAAGAGCCCAGUCAGGCAGCUGCCAUCCAUCCCGACAACUGUGAAGAAAGUGAAGUCAGCGAGAGGGAGGCCCAACCUCCCUGUCCUGAGGCCCAUGGGGAGGAGUUGGGGGGAUUUCCAGAGGUAGGCAGCCCAGCCUCUCCGCCAGCCAGUGGAGGGCUCACCGAGGAGCCCCUGGGGCCUGUGGAGGGGGAGCUCCCAGGAGAGGCCUGCACACUCGCUGCGCAUGAAGGAAGAGGGGACAAGUGUACCAAGGAAGGGGAGGCCUCACAGCAAGAGGGCUGCACCUUAGGUUCUGACCUCAUCUGCCUCAGUGAGAGCCAGGUUUCCGAGGAACAAGAAGAGAUGGGAGGGCAAAGCAGCGUGGCCCAAGCCACGGCCAGUGUGAAUGCAGAGGAGAUCAAGGUAGCCCGUGUUCAUGAGUGUCAGUGGGUGGUGGAGGAUGCUUCAAACCCGGAUGUCCUGCUGUCACACAAAGCUGAUGUGAAGGAGGGAGAAGGUGGACAGGAGAGUUUCCCAGAGCUGCCCUCAGAGGAGUGAAAGGGACAAUUUGGCUGAAGUCUUUCUCUGAACAAAGCCAAAGGGUUAUAGGGGUACACUUAGGGGUUGCAUGCAAGCUGUUACCAAAAAAUUUUUAAGUAUUUUCUUAAUUUGAAUAAUAAAACCAGAAGAAAUGCAUACAGGGCAUGAGCAACUGAGGCAAACCUUUGUGGACAUGAAUUGUUCUACAAUGAAUUUUUGCUUUAGUAUUUUAAUAAGAAUUACAAAGGCAAUGGCAUACUUGGGGUGAGAGGGAGCUGAGGAUGUCUGAGGAGGGAAUAGUAUUGCAGGGAAGACAGAAAACCGUAGGAUGACAGUUUUGAGUAUACUCUGCACUUUUCAAUGGUGCAAUCUUCUUAUGCACUUUAAGGCUUUUGAAUUUUGUUUGAGAAUGCAAAUGUAUACUGUAAGUGUAGCUUUACUAUCUACUAUACCUACUUCACCAUCUCUUAAGGACUCGGCAUUUGUCCACAGUCAGGCUGCAAGAGAGGGUAGGUCGUGAACAGUCACCCGUGCUGGCUGUAGCCCCACAGAGACAAUCACGCCCAAUAGAUUCAAGAGAAGCUGAGUGGAAAUGGAGGGCGGAAGGUGUGAUCUGUGGGACUGUCUGGCCCUGUUACUCAUCCUGCUAUCAAUUUCUUAUUAAUUAAUCUCGAUGAUUCUUAUUAAUUAAUCACAUUUUUCAGGAAAUUCAGAUGAGGCAAGAAAAUUUUAUUGGCCUGGGUAAGCCUGAAAGCAUUCCAAAUUAGGCUUAGACUGUGCAAAGCGCUUAGCUAAGUUAUCGAGCUUAAAACCCAUCAAUUAAACAAACAUUAUUUGAACAGUUACUGCAUGCCACGCACUGUGUUGGGCUUAGU
rnacentral:sRNA from 1 species